rnacentral:rRNA from 1 species
GAUGAACGCUGGCGGCGUGCCUAAUACAUGCAAGUCGAGCGAACAGACGAGGAGCUUGCUCCUCUGACGUUAGCGGCGGACGGGUGAGUAACACGUGGAUAACCUACCUAUAAGACUGGGAUAACUUCGGGAAACCGGAGCUAAUACCGGAUAAUAUAUUGAACCGCAUGGUUCAAUAGUGAAAGACGGUUUUGCUGUCACUUAUAGAUGGAUCCGCGCCGCAUUAGCUAGUUGGUAAGGUAACGGCUUACCAAGGCAACGAUGCGUAGCCGACCUGAGAGGGUGAUCGGCCACACUGGAACUGAGAGACGGUCCAGACUCCUACGGGAGGCAGCAGUAGGGAAUUUUCCGCAAUGGGCGAAAGACUGAAGGAGCAACGCCGCGUGAGUGAUGAAGGUCUUCGGAUCGUAAAACUCUUUUAUUAGGGAAGAACAUAUGUGUAAGUAACUGUGCACAUCUUGACGGUACCUAAUCAGAAAGCCACGGCUAACUACGUG